CGCCCAUACUUUAGCAGAUUUGUUCCUUUCUUAAGUGCUGCAAUGGCCUUCAAAGCCAAGAAAAUAGAUAAUAAGCAGAAAAGUUUAAGCUUAAUACCUACAUGCAGGGUAAUAAUUCAUUCAUUGUACAUUUCUUAAAUCUAGAACCUCAUAAUGUACUUUAUAGAUAUGUUGCUUGUACGUACCCUUCAAAACUGUUGUCAUACCCGUAUCAGUAGUAGUGACAAAGCCAGAAUUUUCACUAACAGAAUUCAAAAUUAUGCACAUGAAGAACUCGUGAUCUUUUCAUCACAUGGAAACAACUUUCCCAAUUACGCUAAGACUCCCCUUCCACUACUCUAAUAGUUUGGCAAAUAAGAAAAAUGGAAGCAAAAUAGUAAGUACCUGAUCAAUAUCCCUAUUAGCAAGACUAGACCUUUGGAAAUCAGCCAUUCAAAUGGUAAUGCUAUUAGGUGAAAAACCCCCAGCUUUCAAACCUAAACCCAUCUGAAAAAACAAAGGGAAAAGCUAUCCCCCUACUUUACCAUUUUUACAUACUUUCCA
rnacentral:lncRNA from 1 species